rnacentral:lncRNA from 1 species
AUGAUUUUCCAGAAGUUCUCCUCGCGGCUGCCAAAUCUCAUUUCUGUUGGCUUUGGGUUUCUAGGGAGUGGGUCUGAGCCAUCCCAGCUGAGAAAGAAAGUCCUUUUCAGCAGAGCAUGCUGUCGGGAUGCUGAUGACUUUGGCUGCAAGGCAGCUUUGAUCAGGACCUCUACACUGGAUGAAGAACUCUGUCUCCACCGAAAACAAAAGAAGGUUCUGUCGCAAGACAAAUUGAAUCAAAUUCUCCAGGAGUUUUCCAGUUCAAUUAAGCUGUGGGAUAGUCCCUAUCUUAGGUGCAAAUCUCUCUGUGCAUUACAGGACCACAGACAGGGAUGUGGCAAAAGAUGAUUAAAUGAAGAUACCUUCAAGUGACCUGGUUUUGAUAGAUGAUAUUAAACCAAGCCUGAAAAUCAGACUCUCCUUGUGGUGGAAAACCUGAGGGAUCAACUAACAAUGAGAUUUCUGCUGUCUUGGUGAUGAACUGUCCUAAGAACUGCAGUUUCAGAGAAUAUGAAGUGACCUUUGAAAACUUCACUGAAAGUUGAUCCAGAUGUUUAAUCUGACCAAGCUGGUUCAUCUCUACAGAUAAAUAAAUUCUCAUUUUUGUUGAAAGUGAAAAUGCA